AGUGUAAGGGACUACCAAGGCGACGAUCAGUAGCUGGUCUGAGAGGAUGAUCAGCCACACUGGGACUGAGACACGGCCCACACUCCUACGGGAGGCAGCAGUGGGGAAUUUUCCGCAAUGGGCGAAAGCCUGACGGAGCAAUACCGCGUGAGGGAGGAAGGCUUUUGGGUUGUAAACCUCUUUUCUCAAGGAAUAAAAAAAAAGGUACUUGAGGAAUAAGCAUCGGCUAACUCCGUGCCAGCAGCCGCGGUAAUACGGAGGAUGCAAGCGUUAUCCGGAAUGAUUGGGCGUAAAGAGUCCGUAGGUGGUUUGUCAAGUCUGCUGUCAAAGAAAUUAGGCUCAACCUUAAUCAAGGCGGUGGAAACUGAGAGACUAGAGUGCAUUCGGGGCCAGAAGGAAUUCCCUGGUGUAGCGGGUGAAAUGCGUAGAGAUCAGGAAGAACACCGGUGGCGAAAGCGUUCUGCUAGGCUGCAACUGACACUGAGGGACGAAAGCUAGGGGAGCGAAUGGGAUUAGAUACCCCAGUAGUCCUAGCCGUAAACGAUGGAUACUAGGCGUUGCUUGUAUCGACCCGAGCAGUGCCGGAGCUAACGCGUUAAGUAUCCCCGCCUGGGGAGUACGCACGCAAGUGUGAAACUCCAAAGGAAUUGACGGGGGGCCCGCACAAGCGGUGGAGUAAUGUGGUUUAAUUUCGAUGCAACGCGAAGAACCUUACCAGGGCUGGACAUGUCGCGAACCUUCCUGAAAGGAAAGAGUGCCUUCGGGAGCGCGAAAACAGGUGGUGGCAGGGCCUGCCGUCUAGCUCGGGUCCGUGGAAAAUGAUGGGGUUAAGUCCCGCAACGAGCGCAACCCUCGUUUCUAGUUGCCAGCAUUAAGAUGGGAACUCUAGAGAGACUGCCGGUGACAAACCGGAGGAAGGUGGGGAUGACGUCAAGUCAGCAU
rnacentral:rRNA from 1 species